rnacentral:rRNA from 1 species
GAUGAACGCUGGCGGCGUGCCUAAUACAUGCAAGUCGAGCGGACCAAAGAGAGCUUGCUCUCUGAGGUUAGCGGCGGACGGGUGAGUAACACGUGGGUAACCUGCCUGUAAGACGGGGAUAACUUCGGGAAACCUAAGCUAAUACCGGAUGAUAAAGAGAAACGCCUGUUUCUUUUUUGAAAGUCGGUCUUGUGCUGACGCUUACAGAUGGGCCCGCGGCGCAUUAGCUAGUUGGUGAGGUAACGGCUGACCAAGGCGACGAUGCGUAGACGACCUGAGAGGGUGAGCGGCCACGCUGGGACUGAGACACGGCACAGGCUCCUAGGGGAGGAAGCAGUAGGGAAUCUUCGGCAAUGGACGAAAGUCUGACCGAGAAACGCCGCGUGAGCGAUGAAGGCCUUCGGGUCGUAAAGCUCUGUUGUCAGAGAAGAACAAGUACCGGAGUAACUGCCGGUACCUUGACGGUACCUGACCAGAAAGCCACGGCUAACUACGUGCCAGCCGCCGCGGUAAGAC